rnacentral:sRNA from 1 species
GGCAAGGUAUGGCGAUCAAAACAAGGAAAGAUAAAAACAUCGCGCGCCAUUCUGUUAGUUAUACAGCGUAUUUGUCUUUUUGGACAGCGAGGGCUACCUUGCGGACUAUUUCCUCAACCAAAGCCAUCAGUUUCUCGGGAACAGAGGCCGGCCUAGCCCUAUAUGAGCACCUGGUGACCGACAGGAUCCUAGAUCCUAACAUGAAGAAGACUUUCUCGGAAUUUGGGCAGAGAAUUCAAGGAACCUCUCCCGAUAAAGGGGCCCAAAUGCUUUUAGAAACCUGGUCAACAACAAAGCAGAUAGCAAAUGGCCAACAUGCA